GUGACAGCAGCCGCGGUAGUACAGAGGGUGCAAGCGUUGUUCGGAAUUAUUGGGCGUAAAGCGCGUGUAGGCGGCCUUGCAAGUCGGGUGUGAAAGCCCUCAGCUCAACUGAGGAAGCGCGCCCGAAACUGCAGAGCUUGAGUACCGGAGAGGAUGGCGGAAUUCCCCAAGUAGAGGUGAAAUUCGUAGAUAUGGGGAGGAACACCGGUGGCGAAGGCGGCCAUCUGGACGGAUACUGACGCUGAGACGCGAAAGCGUGGGGAGCAAACAGGAUUAGAAACCCGGGUAGUCC
rnacentral:rRNA from 1 species